ensembl:lncRNA
AAGGAGCUGAGCUAUAAUUGUUGUUUACUAUCCACUUCUUCAUUGCAAAGAGCUUUGAAUGAUGGUGCAGAAAUUGUUCAGUGAAGAGAGAGUGAAGAAGGCACUUGGACAUCACCGUGACUGCUGCUUUCAAGAGAAGAGUAAUUUGUCUAAUACACAAUCUGUCAUCCUCCCUUCAUGCUGAAAAAGUGAGGAGCUGCUGGAAACUAACCACACAUAUGGUGACAUGGCUCUGUCAUUAACUUGGGCAGCAGACAAAUCUCCCUACAUCACUGGCAUGCAGCACUGGAAACACUUAUCUCUUGGGCUCAUGUUAAGGGCUGGCCAAGAUACACUCCUUCUUCCACCUGUGCUGCUGUGACAACAGAGCCUCUUCCAUAAUUCCUGCUAAGCUUGUGAUGCAGCUUGAACUCAGCGGAUGGGCCAGGUUACAUCAUGGGAGAGCAGAAGGACAAAACUCGUUAGUUUGGAAGCCUGUUCUGGAGACAGACACGAUGCUUGUUUGUGCACCCAAGUUUUUUUUUUUUUGCCUCCUUCCAUCACAAAGAAGAAUGGAGACAUCGUGCCAUCUGAAUGUGUUCUACUUCCCAGCAGCAUAGACUUAUCAUUAGCAGGAACAAAAAGAACGUGUAAAAGAAAAGGCCACAAAUGAACCUGAGAGAAGAUUUUAUGAUGAUCGUCAGCCAUGAUGUCGCAACUCAGGACAGCAUCAUUGCUCAGAGUAAGCUGGAGGCAUUCCUGAUUUGAAGGCAGCUGGUCAGUAAUGGACAAGAAUAGAAUUAAGCAAAAUAUCCAGUGGUUUGAAGAUGUCUUGGAACCAGGUCAUUUAAAAGGUAGAUAAUCCUAAGAGGUCUGACAACCGUAUUAACAUCCAAACCACAAAUGAUGGGUAAUAUGAAAAGCUGGAUUUUCUGACAUACACCCUUUACAUCUGCUUUCUGCAUCAGAGCCAGAAUUAGUUCUACUGCUGUGUUUGUAUUAAAUAUGUGGAUUAAUGGAGCUCAGCGAGAGUGCUGAAUAAGCUCUUCCCAUCUCCAGUGGCUUUGGACGGCAUCUUUCCAUGCAGAGAAAAAUGUGUAGCUUGUUAUAUUCUGUUUUGCACUUGGAAAAACUGUGGCUUGGUACUAAAUCAACAGCUGCUUGUUCAGAAGAAUAGAUUCCAAAGUUCUAUUAGAACUAAGCAAAUUUGGGCUGAGGGUGGCAACAGGGCUGAAAUACUACAAGGAAUCAUUUUGGUCGUGUUGGCUCAGACCGUAGCCCACCAACAGUGCCACUGCUCAAAGAGAACUGACCCCUCUAAUGAAUACCGAAAGACCAGAGUCCCAAUCCAGGAAGAUUUGAUGGCACCUGCAAAUCCAAACAAUGAAGAUAUGUUGCUCCAGUAUCCUGGCUCAGUCACUGCUCAGGGAGCCCAGGGUGACCAGCUUGAUGUAGAAGUGAGCUGUGGAGAUGUCUGAAAUUAGACGAAGCGAAUCCCAUCCCUAAAGCCAGUCUGGGUAGGAGGUAGUGUGGGACGGUGCAAUGCAAGAGUCUACAUGUGAGCUGGAAGUCUGCACUCCCACUGCCGGCGCUGGGGAUCUAGUCAACGUGGUCGGCAGAGCCCAGGAAGCGAUGUGUCUCACUGUAAAGCAGACUCCUACGUUUGGUCAGUGAAUCACUCUCUAUACGCCUACAUUUCAGCGAGAUGGAUCCUAUCCCUGAAGUUAGGAGAGAUGAAUCUCACCCUGAAGUCUUUCUCUUCCUUUUUGUAUCAGCUGCUAAGUUUCCAAUGUGCUAUUACACUAAAUCAAUUGCUCAAGCUAGCUAUCACUCUACCUUCCCUCCAUCCCCAACAGAACCAUAAGAAACUAACACGUUUUCAUGUUCAUUUUUCAAACCUCAUUUCCAAACUCGAUGUAAAAUCUUCCAACUUUCCUCAGCUUCCAUCAAGCCCUUCAGUACCUGCAUACCUCACCAGCACAUUAGAGCUUUCUUCUUCCUCCACUGUCCAUAUAAAGCUUUUGCAGCUCUCCAUUAUUGCAAACAGAUCUGGGUAUCUCUCAGGCGGCAGUGGAAAUAUCGCAUAUUCUUCCACCAUUUUUUCCUUUCUUUUCCACUUACUGUGCAACAAUACAAAUGUAGAGUUUCUGUCAAUACUACUGCCAAUGCAUUCUCAAAUAACUGCAUGUCAGGUGCACAAAUUACAGGACUAAUAGAGGCUGUGAUUACAUUUCGUGUAUGGGUUCUCAAGGCAUAUGAUAAUGAAUAUUAAUAGAAACUAUUUCUCCAGUAAAUGAUUGUUUUCUCAAUAGUUGAUAUAAAUAAAACUACUUGGAUAGGAAACAGAUUUUUCUGAUGUCUCUAUCACAAAUGCAAUGAUGUAUUUCCAGAAGAAAAGUCACACCUGCCAGUAUACACUAGUAGAAAUGUAAAUAUUUGCAAUUUUUGUAGUAAUUAAACCCAAUUCUCCAAGGCCCAUCUCACAGCAUCAGAAGACAGAACGUAGGUUCAUAAGCUAACAAAGAAUGAAUGAAGUGUCACAAAACCAGAUGGAAUUAAAAUUAAAACUCAGAAAUCAAUCGGAGAAGGCAGGGUCUGUCUCACCAAACUUCAGAUACCUGUAAAUGGAUGGCUGCAGGUGAGUUAGUCACUCUGCCAGUCAUUCCUGCAUAGUCAAUGGAGACAAGCAGGCACCUGAGGCACGA